AUUGAACGCUGGCGGCAGGCCUAACACAUGCAAGUCGAACGGUAACAGGAAGCAGCUUGCUGAUUUGCUGACGAGUGGCGGACGGGUGAGUAAUGUCUGGGAAACUGCCCGAUGGAGGGGGAUAACUACUGGAAACGGUAGCUAAUACCGCAUAACGUCGCAAGACCAAAGAGGGGGACCUUAGGGCCUCUUGCCAUCGGAUGUGCCCAGAUGGGAUUAGCUAGUAGGUGGGGUAACGGCUCACCUAGGCGACGAUCCCUAGCUGGUCUGAGAGGAUGACCGGCCCCCCUGGAACUGAGACCCGUCCCAGACUCCUACGGGAGGCCGCAGUGGGGAAUAUUGCACAAUGGGCGCAAGCCUGAUGCAGCCAUGCCGCGUGUAUGAAGAAGGCCUUCGGGUUGUAAAGUACUUUCAGCGGGGAGGAAGGGAGUAAAGUUAAUACCUUUGCUCAUUGACGUUACCCGCAGAAGAAGCACCGGCUAACUCCGUG
rnacentral:rRNA from 1 species